GUAACUCAAUGGUAGAGUGUCUGCUUAGCAUGCAGGAGACCCUGAGUUCAAUUCCCAAC
rnacentral:tRNA from 1 species